CGUCACUUGGCUGCGUGGUGACACACCCUGGAAGUAGGUUUGUUCCGUGUCUCCGAGAGCCUUUGGCCUGGGGACGCUGCCAGUGCCUUUCUCCCCGGGACACUGCCUGCUGGGCCUGCUCCCUCCGGGGCUGCCUGCCCCUCACAAGGCUGCACUUUCUCAGGGGACGUCUCUUUGGGGUCUUUCGGGUCCUUCUGAGAAGUCACACCAGUCACCAGUGACCCCCGCCCAAACACAAAACCAGAGACUGACAAAAUGUUACCAGGCUGUGAUUUUACCAGGAAGAGACUCUGGGAAAAUGACUGUUAUUGCCAUCAUUUCCCAUGAAGGAAGGACGUUUUAGCACUCAGUAAAGCUGAUGAAGGAACGCUUGGUCCAGGUUGGCAGAUGUUCCUGGAAGGUUUGGGAACCAGUGUCCUAAGGAGACUCACUCUGGCCUAGAGGCCCAGGAAGUGUGAUGCAGUGGAAAGAAUGUUGGAUCAGGUGACAUGGAACCCUGACAGGUCAUCACCAAUAGCCAAGUGGCCCUGGGCAAGCCCUCGUCCUCUGAGCCUUGUUUCCUCAUCUUUGAAAGGAGGGCGUCAAGCUACGUCAUUGCUCAACUGUGAAACGCUCUGACUCUACUAGAACAUUUCGGAAGGAUGAACUAGUGAAAGUCAGAGCUUCUCAGGAAACAGCCCUGUGACUAAAGCUCGGGGAAUGUGCCCUGCAAGCAGUUUAGUUCAGGAACACCAGAGAGUAUAGAAAAUGCCAAAUCUCCCGGCCCGGGUCACCUUGACCGGCUAAUUCCAAUUUCCUCCAAAUAUCACUCGGGAGGCAACAGCAACCGAAACACUAAACCGCCUCUGGUCCCCACCAGCUGGUGGGGGUUUCUUCCCUUCUUGGCUCGACCUAGGAACUCAUAUUUUAUUCAUGAAAACGGAGGCCCUGGGAGGCCUCGGCAUAAACAGGAUGUAAAUAUUUGCGGGUGGUGGGGGAGAGGUGGUACUUGAACAGAGGCUGUACAAAGUGGGGACCUCCAGGACAAUGCUCACUUGGGGCCCGCCCACCUGCAUCUCCUCUGUAGCUUGGGGAGGGGGGCAUGUGCAGGCUGUACCCCAGAUGGAGAUGGAUUUGGGACUUCAGUGCCCUCCAAGUGAGUCUGGCUGUUGCCUAACCUUCUGCUGCAUCCCAUUUGCCUGUUCGUUGGGGACCCUUCAUCCCCCUUCCUCAGCCUGAGACUUCGAUUUCUGGCUCUUGCAGAAGUGCCCGGCCUGUCUCCAGCCCCUCCCCUCCCCUUCCGCACCUGGCCACUCCUGUUUCAGCUGUGUGGAGUUCCCCGCCAUCCCCAAACGGGCCCUUCUCACGGUGCUGUCCCUUUCCUUAUCUCCAGUUGCUCCGCCUGGCAUGAACUUCCCUCUGAGCUCUUCCACUGGUCUCUAAGACCCCUCCAGAUCUUUGCAGGGGCCACAUCCUUUCUGGAACCCCGGCCACCUCAUCUCUUGGGCUCUCCAAGGAGAAUAACUCCUGCUCAGCUAUCAGGGCCUAGCCUGGGUGUCACUUCCUCCAGGAGACUGUCCCUGAUGCUUCCCACUCCAAAUCUGGGUUCAAAGUCUCCCCUCCCCCCACCCACGGCCUGAGCUGAAGCCCUUCCUCGUAUCCCACACUGAUAGGGCCCAGACUCUUCGGUCCUGUUCACUAAAUAAAUACUUUUUGAAUAAAGGAAUGGAUGGACGGAUGGAUAAAUGGAUGAAGACGUGACUCAAUUAACACCUGUGUCUGUGGCCAUGUCUGUUGCCACCACCCCCGGAUGGAACCCUACACUUCGGCGCAUCUGCUCCAAGGACAUCAGACCCUGUCUUUUAGUGCCUUACACACACUCCGCCAGCCUUUUGUUUCUGCUUGUCUCUCCCCCGAACCCCACCACACAGCCUGUGCCCUGUAUCACCGCACCGAGGACAUUUCCUGGAAAAUAAUAAAUUUCAGUCUUGGUGGAAUCUUGCAGGGUAUCUAGGAUUUUCAAAGUUACACCCUGCACCGCACAGCCUCAGGCAUGAGGAAAACAUUUCCAUCUGUGAGACACACCUUCCUGGAAUUGACACCCUGGGGCUUCCCAAAGAAUGUGGAGAGCGUGUGCGCGCCGGAGUGGGCAUGCUGGGACUAAGCUUUGUUUAAAAUGUUCAUGACUCCUUCCUCACAUGAGACCUACGCUCGGCUAUUUCUGGGAUCUGGGAAAACGUAAAACAC
ensembl:lncRNA